rnacentral:rRNA from 1 species
AGGACGAACGCUGGCGGCGUGCUUAACACAUGCAAGUCGAGCGGAAAGGCCCUUCGGGGUACUCGAGCGGCGAACGGGUGAGUAACACGUGAGCAACCUGCCCUUAGCUUCGGGAUAGCUCCGGGAAACCGGAAUUAAUACCGAAUAUGACCAUGGCCGACAUCAGCCAUGGUGGAAAGUUUUUCGGCUAGGGAUGGACUCGCGGCCUAUCAGCUAGUUGGUGAGGUAACGGCCCACCAAGGCGACGACGGGUAGCCGGCCUGAGAGGGCGACCGGCCACACUGGGACUGAGACACGGCCCAGACUCCUACGGGAGGCAGCAGUGGGGAAUAUUGCGCAAUGGGCGAAAGCCUGACGCAGCGACGCCGCGUGGGGGAUGAAUGCCUUCGGGUUGUAAACCCCUUUCAGCAGGGACGAAGCGAAAGUGACGGUACCUGCAGAAGAAGCGCCGGCUAACUACGCGCCAGCAGCCGC